rnacentral:rRNA from 1 species
GACGAACGCUGGCGGCGUGCUUAACACAUGCAAGUCGAACGGAAAGGCCCUGCUUUUGUGGGGUGCUCGAGUGGCGAACGGGUGAGUAACACGUGAGUAGCCUGCCCUUGACUUUGGGAUAACUUCAGGAAACUGGGGCUAAUACCGGAUAGGAGCUCCUGCUGCAUGGUGGGGGUUGGAAAGUUUCGGCGGUUGGGGAUGGACUCGCGGCUUAUCAGCUUGUUGGUGGGGUAGUGGCUUACCAAGGCUUUGACGGGUAGCCGGCCUGAGAGGGUGACCGGCCACAUUGGGACUGAGAUACGGCCCAGACUCCAACGGGAGGCAGCGGUGGGGAGUAUUGCACAGUGGGAGGAAGCCUGAUGCGGCAACGCCGCGUGCGGGAUGACGGCCUUCGGGUUGUGAACCGCUUUCGCCUGUGACGAAGCGUGAGUGACGGUAAUGGGUAAAGAAGCACCGGCUAACUACGUG